GCGGGCGUGGCGGAAUUGGCAGACGCGCAGGAUUUAGGAUCCUGUGUCCUAGACGUGAGGGUUCAAGUCCCUCCGCCCGCA
rnacentral:tRNA from 1 species